GGCCAGUGGCAGUAGGCAGAAGGGCAAGAUACAACUAGGGGCCGGACCAAUUCUGUGAUUUAUGCAUGGAUACUGUCUUUCCUCAGCAGUUUCCAUAGCUCACUGAUACAUGG